GAUGAACGCUGGCGGCGUGCCUAAUACAUGCAAGUCGAGCGAACAGACGAGGAGCUUGCUCCUCUGACGUUAGCGGCGGACGGGUGAGUAACACGUGGAUAACCUACCUAUAAGACUGGGAUAACUUCGGGAAACCGGAGCUAAUACCGGAUAAUAUAUUGAACCGCAUGGUUCAAUAGUGAAAGACGGUUUUGCUGUCACUUAUAGAUGGAUCCGCGCCGCAUUAGCUAGUUGGUAAGGUAACGGCUUACCAAGGCAACGAUGCGUAGCCGACCUGAGAGGGGGAUCGGCCACACUGAACCGGAGAAAGGGUCCAGCCACCUACGGAGGGCAGAGGUAGGAAAUCUUCCGAAAUGGGCGAAAGCUUGACGGAGCAACGCGGGGUAGGUAAUGAAGGUCUUCGGAUCGUAAAACCCUGUUAUUAGGGAAGAACAAAUGUGUAAGUAACAAUGAAGGUCUGAACGGAACCAAAUAAGAAGGCCACGGCUAAUUACGG
rnacentral:rRNA from 1 species